GGAUGAGUACAGUGGCGCACGGGUGAGUAACACGUAGGUAAUCUACCCUCCGGCGGGGGACAACGUUCCGAAAGGAGCGCUAAUACCGCAUAAGACCACGACCUCCACGGGGGUUGCGGGAAAAGGUGGCCUCUCCUUGGAAGCUACCACCGGAGGAUGAGCCUGCGUCCCAUCAGCUAGUUGGUAGGGUAAUGGCCUACCAAGGCGAAGACGGGUAGCUGGUCUGAGAGGAUGAUCAGCCACACUGGUACUGGAACACGGACCAGACUCCUACGGGAGGCAGCAGUGAGGAAUAUUGGGCAAUGGGCGCAAGCCUGACCCAGCCACGCCGCGUGAGUGAUGAAGGCCUUCGGGUUGUAAAGCUCUGUGGGGAGGGACGAAAGUCCGUGGUUCGAAUAGGGCCACGGUUUGACGGUACCUCCUUAGCAAGCACCGGCUAACUCUGUGCCAGCAGCCGCGGUAAGACAGAGGGUGCGAACGUUGCUCGGAAUUACUGGGCGUAAAGCGCGUGUAGGCGGACCGAUAAGUCAGGUGUGAAAUCCCUGGGCUCAACCCAGGAACUGCACUUGAAACUGUCGGUCUUGAGUGAUGGAGAGGGAUGCGGAAUUCCCGGUGUAGAGGUGAAAUUCGUAGAUAUCGGGAGGAACACCAGUGGCGAAGGCGGCAUCCUGGACAUUGACUGACGCUGAGACGCGAAAGCGUGGGGAGCAAACAGGAUUAGAUACCCUGGUAGUCCACGCCGUAAACGAUGAGUGCUAGGUGUCGCGGGUAUUGACCCCUGCGGUGCCGUAGCUAACGCGUUAAGCACUCCGCCUGGG
rnacentral:rRNA from 1 species